UUUCCCCCACUCUUUGUUAUUAUUAUUAUUUGGCUAAAAAAUGCACUUUCUAGUUUCUAAUAGGUGCAUAACAAUAAAAUACUCUCAUAUGGGAUAACAUAAGUACAUAACUAAGGAAAUGGAAAUUGUUAACAUUACUAACCGAGUUAGAUCCCUUACUGCAUCGGGCCAUUGUUUCUACAUUUUGCUGUUCCAGAUCUUUGAGGUAUAGGCGGAAUGAAGGUUUUGACUAAGUCGUUUUAUUCUCUCCUGUCUUGAUCUUCCAAGGCUUUAGGUUCAUUUUCCCCCACUCUUUGUUAUUAUUAUUAUUUGGCUAAAAAAUGCACUUUCUAGUUUCUAAUAGGUGCAUAACAAUAAAAUACUCUCAUAUGGGAUAACAUAAGUACAUAACUAAGGAAAUGGAAAUUGUUAACAUUACUAACCGAGUUAGAUCCCUUACUGCAUCGGGCCAUUGUUUCUACAUUUUGCUGUUCCAGAUCUUUGAGGUAUAGGCGGAAUGAAGGUUUUGACUAAGUCGUUUUAUUCUCUCCUGUCUUGAUCUUCCAAGGCUUUAGAGAGAAGGUGUAUGGUAUGUAGACGUUUGCUAACUUUUUCACCAGCAGACCAUUUUUUGGUAUAUUUUUUCUGUCUUGGUAAUCAGCUCUUAUAUUAUGCUCUCAUUUAUGUUUUAGUUAUUUGUUUUCAGGUUUAUUUUGCUUCCACUGAGGUUUGUCUGUUUUAAUCAUAUGUCAGCAUUUGCUAUUUUAUUUUUAUUAUUUCUGAGGGGCAGAGCACAAUGAAUAGAGGAAUUAAUCUAUAUCUAUAUGUUAUUAUGGUGGAAACCCAUGAAAUUUGAUAAAGUACUUCAUCUUUUGCUAAUAAAUCAUGCUCAUAGGAGUGAUUUCCCCUUUUUUUGUCAAAAAACAAUUCAGGUUUGGUUGUAUAUGAAUCAUACUAUCUGAAGAAUCUCAGGAAAAGAGGACUAUUGCAACUCUUCCGGUUACAAAGACUAAAAAUGUCAGAAAGCUCAAUAUUCAAUAUUGCUUAGUGGAACUCCUGCCUUAUUCCGACCAAUAGAACUGUUCAAGCAGAUGGAAGCUUUGUAUCCUGAUGCAUAUAAGAGUGUUCAUUAAUAUGGUAACCGAAAUUGCAAGGAUGGAGUUUUUGGAGUUUAUCAAGGGGUAAGUAAUCAUGAAGAAUUACACAAUUUGAUGAAGGUGACAGUGAUGAUACGAAGGCUUAAAAAAGUUGUUCUUUCUCAACUUCCUGUAAAUUGUAGGCAACAAGUGCGCUCGUUUAUCUCCAUCUCUUCUAUCCAAUCUGCAGUGCACUCUUUUGCUAUUGUUUGUUUCAAUCAAUGAGCAUUCACAGCAUGCUCAUGAAACUUGGAACUUUUUUUUUUUGUUGAUCCUCAGGUCUAGGGAUGUCAAUGGGGCGGGGGCGGGGGAUGCCUCCCUGCUCCCCGUCCUCGCCCCCAGAAUUAAUCCCCAUCCCCGCCCGAUCCCCGUCAUGGGGGGAUAAUUGUCCCCAUCCCCAUUCCCCGCAUUCCCCGUAUUCCCCGCAGGGCCCCAUUCCCCAUCCCCUUAUGUUUAACAUUCAUGUUAGUAAAAAAUAUCAAAAAAAUAAAAAACAAACUAGAAAAUACUAUUACAAACACAAACAUAUCUUAUCCAAGAUUAUAAGUCCACAAAUACAACAUAGUAAAUUAUAGUCCAUAAAAUAAAAUCUUAAAAUACAAUUUCCAUUCUAAAAAAAAAAAUAAGAUAUAGUCUUUAACAUCAAGUGGAAACUGGAGAGAGUUGGGGCUGUGGGAGAGAACAGCGUAUAGUGCUGUGGGAGUUUUGGAGUUUGAACAAAGUGGGAAUAGAGAGUAGAUGGCGCAGCAAACAACACAGUGAGUAGGGAAGAUUGAAUAAUAGGGUUAGGGUUUUUUAAUUGGUGAAAUUACUAAAAAACCCCUAUGUUAGAAAUAAAGUAAGGUUAUUUAAGAAAUUUCAAACAUUCGGGGAAUUAUCGAGGAUGGGGCGGGGAUCCCCGCUCGGGUCCUCACGCCUGUCUCGGGAGAAUUUUGCUCCCCAUCCCCAUCCCCACGGGGAAAAUUCCCCACAAUCGGGCCCCAUUCGGGGCGGUCCCUGCGGGGAUCCCCGCCUCCUGGGGAUUUUUGACACCCCUACUCAGGUCUUCUUAGACUUAGCUGACAAGGACAUGAAGCAAACUAAUGCUUUAUUCCGUGAAGUAAUUCAACAUAUUUGUUUUGCAUCUAUAUCUUGAGACUAGUAUAGCAUCAUGCAGUUCUUGUUAUUUGUGUUUGAGCUAGUUAUAGAAUACAAUUCCUAUUUUGUUGACAAUAUGCUUAUUUUGGGCAUAUAAUUUUUUUUUUUUGUAUUUUCUCGACUGUGGAUGUCAUUUAUUUGAACUAUGUGAUUGUUAUUUAGAUUAUGAGUAAUUUUCUAAAACUUCCACUUCUGAAAACGGUUCAAAAAAUUUCUCACCACUCUUCACUGGUAAUGUUGUGGUAAGUUUUCUACUUUUCUUUCUAAAAUUUGGUUAUUUGACUUGGAAAUGGUAAUAUGUACUCUCCAUUUUCAGUUUGAGUCUUGGUAAAAUCUAACCAAUAUUAGUUUCUUUUUUCUUUUUUUUUUAUUUUUAUUUUUUAUUUUUUAUACUGCAGUUGGAGGUGGUAAAACCGUAAAAGCCAAAAUUAAGUCUGUCAAAUCAAAAGAUGAGGGUGAAUCUCUUAAGUUUACUCAUAAGAAUCUGAUUGACAAGGUUUGCACAGCUCUGAACAUAAUGUUGACUUGUACAAUUUGUUUGGAAGUUUUUCUUAUUACCUAGAACUAUGAUAGGUUUAUAGUUUCUACUGCAACAUUUUCUCAGGCCUUGGCCUAUAUGCGAGUAGUUUAAAUCAUUUUGACUGGUAUAUGAUCAAAACU